GUCCUUAAACGGCGGCCCAUAAGGAGUUCUGCCGGGCUUCGAUUCGUUGAUUGGCACGGGGUGGUGUGUUGUACCAGCAAAUACUCUGCAAUUCGCUCAUGCCAGUCCCUGGACCCCAUCCUUCCUAACACCUCUUUGGCAGAUCUUACAGCUCGUUCCGCAAAACCAUUACUCGAAGGAUGGAACGGGGAGAUCAGGCAAUGUCGGAUACCCAAGCUCGCUAAAAACACUUUGAAUGUGGAGGAUGUUACUUGGGGUCCAUUAUCCAAUACCAGCAGAUCAGAUCGGCGAUCCCACCUUCGUCGCCACUAAUAAAUACUGUAUGGUCAUCUGAAGAAUGGCAACUGGCGAGUAUUCUUCUCAGAACCUGGCAUGAUUUAUGGCCUGAAAGAAAAAUGCUGCAAAGUGUCCCACGAACAAGGUGGUCCAGGCUGGCUGUGUGUCUGCCUGCCUACAAGUGUUCUCUUGUAUUUUGGGAGAACAUAAACCAAGGCAUUCAGCAUCAUGCAAAUAUUGCCGCUUAAGUGCCAGCUAUGGGGAAUGGCAACGUUCCAAGAAACUUUCAGAGAAAGAAAACCUUCUAUUGUGGAUGUCAGUGAUGAUGCUUCUGCAGCAGUUGAUUCAGAAAGCAGGAUUGCCAAAAGUCUCGGUGGAAUGUAAAGAUAUGCUGAACAAUGAUAUAACACCAUUAGAAUUAUUGGAGGCAACCAAAAAACAAAAAAAUAAUAAAACACCAGGCCCUGAUGGAUUGCCGUCAGAAAUUUUCAAAAACCACCAAGAGAUAUUAAGUCCCAUAUUGUUAGAGAUAUAUAACGAAGUUUUGAAUGAAGCAAAGAUCCCAGCCUCGUGGAUGGAAGCAACAACUACAUUGGUUCCCAAGGAAAAUGCUGAUUUGGCUUUUAUUAAAAAUUAUAGGCCAA